rnacentral:lncRNA from 1 species
GGGCAUUUGGAGACAGGAUCAGAGAAAAGACAUGAUUUCAAGAGGCACAGAGCAGCAGCUGAGCUGCUCAAGGAAAAGCCCACCUAGCAGAGCCAGCCAGGGAGGGCCUGGGCAGACCAACUAGGUGAACUUCAUAUUCUUUGCCCUUGGAGUAAAGCUUCAAACAACAGUCCUAAAGAGAAAAAUGAAAAUGAUAGACCAGA